rnacentral:lncRNA from 1 species
AUCUUUUUAUUUGAUAUUAAUGUUCCCUUUGUCUAAUUUUAUUUCUGGUUUCCUUUCAGACAAAAAAUUUAAGACUAGAAUUGCAGAAGAAGGAAAAAUUAAUGUUUGAAAUGAAAAAUAAGCUAGAGGAGGAAAAACAAGCUGCCUUGCUGGAGGUAGAGAAAAAAUACAGUAAAUAAAAAAGAGUUGGAACAGAAAAAUACUGAACUGCAAUUCCAGUCGAGGAACAUUGUUGACUCUGAAGAGAAAAUGAAAGCAAUGCGAUCCCUUAUGAGAACUUCACCUCCAAAUAAGCAAGCUCAGAAUCUGAAUAGCAGCCGUGCCUUAUUUAAUGAUGAUCUCCACAAACUGGAAGCUCAAAUUAAAGACAUCAGUCCAAAAAAAGGAGAACCACAAAUUGAACUCUAUGAGCCAUUGAACAUACAAAUUCAUGCAGGAAAGCUUUUGUAUGAAAGGUUGUAUCCACGACUAUUUGAUCCUCCAGCGCAAGAAAAUGAAACGCUCGUUGAAAAGGCAGAAACAACAAAGAGCGUCAAUGUUUCGACAGUUAAGAGUGUCCUUCUAACGCAGACAGUCGCAAAACCAGAAAACAGUGAAGGUAAAAAUAAGAAUCAGCAGAAAAAUGACUCAUCAAACAAAAGCUCGCAAUUGAUGUCCUUUUCGCCGAUG